UACGUAGGGGGCAAGCGUUGUCCGGAAUCAUUGGGCGUAAAGAGCGUGUAGGCGGUCCGGUAAGUCGGCUGUGAAAGUCCAGGGCUCAACCCUGGGAUGCCGGUCGAUACUGCCGGACUAGAGUCCGGAAGAGGCAAGUGGAAUUCCCGGUGUAGCGGUGAAAUGCGCAGAUAUCAGGAGGAACACCGGUGGUGUAGACGGCUCUCUGGACCGUAACUGACGCUGAGACGCGAAAGCGUGGGUAGCAAACAGG
rnacentral:rRNA from 1 species